rnacentral:rRNA from 1 species
CAGUCGCCGCGGUAAUACGAAGGGGGCUAGCGUUGUUCGGAUUUACUGGGCGUAAAGCGCACGUAGGCGGACUUUUAAGUCAGGGGUGAAAUCCCGGGGCUCAACCCCGGAACUGCCUUUGAUACUGGAAGUCUUGAGUAUGGUAGAGGUGAGUGGAAUUCCGAGUGUAGAGGUGAAAUUCGUAGAUAUUCGGAGGAACACCAGUGGCGAAGGCGGCUUACUGGACCAUUACUGACGCUGAGGUGCGAAAGCGUGGGGAGCAAACAGGAUUAGAUACCCGUGUAGUCCCUGUCUCUUAUAC